AACGAACGCUGGCGGCAUGCCUAACACAUGCAAGUCGAACGAGACCUUCGGGUCUAGUGGCGCACGGGUGCGUAACGCGUGGGAACCUGCCCUUAGGUUCGGAAUAACUCCCCGAAAGGGGAGCUAAUACCGGAUAAUGUCUUCGGACCAAAGAUUUAUCGCCGUUGGAUGGGCGCGCGUUGGAUUAGCCAGUUGGUAGGGUAAAAGCCUACCAAGGCGACGUUCCAUAGCUGGUCUGAGAGGAUGAUCAGCCACACUUGGACUGCGACACGGCCCAGACUCCUACGGGAAGCAGCAGUGGAGAAUAUUGGACGAUGAGCGAAAGCGUGAUCCAGCAAUGCCGCGUAAGUGAUGAAGGGCUUAGGGUUGUAAAGCUGUUUUAGCCGGGAUGAUAAUGACAGUACCGGGAGAAGAAGCUCCGGCUAACUACGUG
rnacentral:rRNA from 1 species